rnacentral:rRNA from 1 species
GACGAACGCUGGCGGCGUGCUUAACACAUGCAAGUCGAACGGAAAGGCCCUGCUUUUGUGGGGUGCUCGAGUGGCGAACGGGUGAGUAACACGUGAGUAACCUGCCCUUGACUUUGGGAUAACUUCAGGAAACAGGGGCUAAUACCGGAUAGGAGCUCCUGAUGCAUGGUGGGGGUUGGAAAGUUUCGGCGGUUGGGGAUGGACUCGCGGCUUAUCAGCUUGAUGGUGGGGUAGUGGCUUACCAAGGCUUUGACGGGUAGCCGGCCUGAGAGGGUGACCGGCCACAUUGGGACUGAGAUACGGCCCAGACUCCUACGGGCGGCAGCAGUGGGGAAUAUUGCACAGUGGGCGGAAGCCUGAUGCAGCAACGCCGCGUGCGGGAUGACGGCCUUCGGGUUGUAAACCACUUUCGCCUGUGACGAAGCGUGAGUGACGGUAAUGGGUAAAGAAGCACCGGCUAACUACGUG